ACUCGGUGCAGAUAUGUCCAAAUA
rnacentral:siRNA from 1 species